UACGUAGGGGGCAAGCGUUGUCCGGAUUUAUUGGGCGUAAAGAGCGUGUAGGCGGCCAUGUAGGUCCGUUGUGAAAACUCGAGGCUCAACCUCGAGACGCCGAUGGAAACCAUGUGGCUAGAGUCCGGAAGAGGAGAGUGGAAUUCCUGGUGUAGCGGUGAAAUGCGCAGAUAUCAGGAAGAACACCCGUGGCGAAGGCGGCUCUCUGGGACGGUACUGACGCUGAGGCGCGAAAGCGUGGGGAGCAAACAGG
rnacentral:rRNA from 1 species